rnacentral:rRNA from 1 species
UACGUAGGGUGCAAGCGUUGUCCGGAAUUAUUGGGCGUAAAGAGCUCGUAGGCGGUUUGUCGCGUCUGCUGUGAAAACCCGAGGCUCAACCUCGGGCCUGCAGUGGGUACGGGCAGACUAGAGUGCGGUAGGGGAGAUUGGAAUUCCUGGUGUAGCGGUGAAAUGCGCAGAUAUCAGGAGGAACACCGGUGGCGAAGGCGCCACUCUGGGCCGAAACUGACGCUGAGGAGCGAAAGCGUGGGUAGCAAACAGG